rnacentral:rRNA from 1 species
CAGCUAGUUGGUGAGGUAAUGGCUCACCAAGGCGACGAUCCGUAACUGGUCUGAGAGGAUGAUCAGUCACACUGGAACUGAGACACGGUCCAGACUCCUACGGGAGGCAGCAGUGGGGAAUAUUGGACAAUGGGCGAAAGCCUGAUCCAGCCAUGCCGCGUGUGUGAAGAAGGUCUUCGGAUUGUAAAGCACUUUAAGUUGGGAGGAAGGGCAGUAAGCGAAUACCUUGCUGUUUUGACGUUACCGACAGAAUAAGCACCGGCUAACUCUGUGCCAGCAGCCGCGGUAAUACAGAGGGUGCAAGCGUUAAUCGGAAUUACUGGGCGUAAAGCGCGCGUAGGUGGUUUGUUAAGUUGAAUGUGAAAUCCCCGGGCUCAACCUGGGAACUGCAUCCAAAACUGGCAAGCUAGAGUAGGGCAGAGGGUGGUGGAAUUUCCUGUGUAGCGGUGAAAUGCGUAGAUAUAGGAAGGAACACCAGUGGCGAAGGCGACCACCUGGGCUCAUACUGACACUGAGGUGCGAAAGCGUGGGAGCAAACAGGAUUAGAUACCCUGGUAGUCCACGCCGUAAACGAUGUCAACUAGCCGUUGGAAGCCUUGAGCUUUUAGUGGCGCAGCUAACGCAUUAAGUUGACC